rnacentral:rRNA from 1 species
CACAUGCAAGUCGAACGGAAACAUGUCUAGCUUGCUAGAUGAUGUCGAGUGGCGGACGGGUGAGUAAUGCUUGGGAACUUGCCUUUGCGAGGGGGAUAACAGUUGGAAACGACUGCUAAUACCGCAUAAUGUCUUCGGACCAAACGGGGCUUCGGCUCCGGCGCAAAGAGAGGCCCAAGUGAGAUUAGCUAGUUGGUGAGGUAAAGGCUCACCAAGGCAACGUUCUCUAGCUGUUCUGAGAGGAAGAUCAGCCACACUGGGACUGAGACACGGCCCAGACUCCUACGGGAGGCAGCAGUGGGGAAUAUUGCACAAUGGGGGAAACCCUGAUGCAGCCAUGCCGCGUGUGUGAAGAAGGCCUUCGGGUUGUAAAGCACUUUCAGUUGUGAGGAAAAGUUAGUAGUUAAUACCUGCUAGCCGUGACGUUAACAACAGAAGAAGCACCGGCUAACUCCGUGCCAGCAGCCGCGGUAAUACGGAGGGUGCGAGCGUUAAUCGGAAUUACUGGGCGUAAAGCGCACGCAGGCGGUUUGUUAAGCUAGAUGUGAAAGCCCCGGGCUCAACCUGGGACGGUCAUUUAGAACUGGCAGACUAGAGUCUUGGAGAGGGGAGUGGAAUUCCAGGUGUAGCGGUGAAAUGCGUAGAUAUCUGGAGGAACAUCAGUGGCGAAGGCGACUCCCUGGCCAAAGACUGACGCUCAUGUGCGAAAGUGUGGGUAGCGAACAGGAUUAGAUACCCUGGUAGUCCACACCGUAAACGCUGUCUACUAGCUGUUUGUGACUUUAAGUCGUGAGUAGCGAAGCUAACGCGAUAAGUAGACCGCCUGGGGAGUACGGCCGCAAGGUUAAAACUCAAAUGAAUUGACGGGGGCCCGCACAAGCGGUGGAGCAUGUGUUUAUUCGAUGCAACGCGAAGAACUUACCUACACUUGACUUGUGAGAGUUACAGAGAUGGUUUCGUGCUUCGGACUCAAACACAGUGCUGCAUGGCUGUCGUCAGCUCGUGUCGUGAGAUG